rnacentral:rRNA from 1 species
GCAAGGAGGUCACACCUGUUUCCAUGCCGAACACAGAAGUUAAGCUCCUUAGCGUCGAUGGUAGUCGAACUUACGUUCCGCUAGAGUAGAAC